CCUACGGGAGGCAGCAGUCGGGAAUAUUGCGCAAUGGAGGAAACUCUGACGCAGUGACGCCGCGUGUAGGAAGAAGGUUUUCGGAUUGUAAACUACUGUCGUAAGGGAAGAUAAUGACAGUACCUUAGGAGGAAGCUCCGGCUAACUACGUGCCAGCAGCCGCGGUAAUACGUAGGGAGCAAGCGUUAUCCGGAAUUACUGGGUGUAAAGGGAGCGUAGGCGGGAUGGUAAGUUAGGUGUGAAAUGCGGAGGCUCAACCUCCGAGCUGCACUUAAAACUGCUGUUCUUGAGUGAAGUAGAGGUUGGCGGAAUUCCCAGUGUAGCGGUGAAAUGCGUAGAUAUUGGGAGGAACAUCAGUGGCGAAGGCGGCCAACUGGGCUUUUACUGACGCUGAGGCUCGAAAGCGUGGGGAGCAAACAGGAUUAGAUACCCUG
rnacentral:rRNA from 1 species